GUGUCGUUUCACAUUCCUCGUGCUUCACCCUAUCCUCUCUCACGAACGGCGCUUUCUCACCGUCUCCAAUCAACCUGCAGCGCCGCCGUGAGAUUAUUCCGGCCACCGUCUCCAAUCAACCUGCCGCGCCGCCGUGAGAUUCUUCCGGCCACCGUCUCCUCCUUCUUCAAAUCAUCUACCUCACACUAUAAACCUUCUCAAUUUCAGUCUACCUCGCUUCCUAACAUCUACUACGAACACUAACCCUAGCAGCGACCAAAGCCAAAUUACAUGAGAUUAGGGACGAGUCCGGCUACGAUUGCUUAGGGUUUUCGUUCAUAGGAACCUGUUCUACACAACGGUAUGAAGAAAAGCGGGAAUCAGAACUUACCGGAGUCACAAGAUGAUGCAGAUCGUUGAGGAAAACCAGAGGUGAAAUAUUAAGCGUCCGAAGACGAUGACGCACGCGAAAUAAACGCGCGGAAGGGGAGGGCUUCAAUGUCAGAUGAUGAUGGUGUCGAAGUCUGAAUGAAGAUUGAAGAUUGUUGUUUUGUGAGGGAGAAGGAUUAUCAUGCGAAGGAGAAGGAUGAAGAUUGGUCGUGGUUGGUGAUUGAAUGAAGAUGAUGAAGCAGAGAGAUCCAGAAUGAUGAAGAAUGGUGAGGAGUGAUGAAUGUUGAAGUGUGGAGAUGGAUGAAGAUGGUGAUGGAAAUAGGCUCAGUUAAAAGCUCAGUGAGUCAUCCAUAACUUUUGACUGUUGCAACAUUUCCUGCCUUACAAUAUAUUACAAGUUAUAAUCAAAUAGUAGUCAGCCUUGAUUGGGUUACCUUUCUGGGGGUUAAAUAUUUAUCUUUCGAUCAAAUUUACAUAGACCUUUGCCACGAGAACUCUCACCCACCCCACCUGAUGCAGUGGUUGGUUCAGAAGGUUCAAAACUUGAACCUCCUAAAGGUUUGCCAUAGUUCCUAGACUAUGUUUCAUGUAUGGCUCACUUAGCUGUUUUUGGAAUUCUUGGGGUCCUCACGAGAUAUUUACUGCAAAAGUUAUUUGGCCCUCGGGUUGCUAAUUUGACAAGCAAUCAUAGUAUUCUUUACCUUGACCUUCCUUCUAAUAUGGAAUGGAAUCCAGCAGAGAAGGAACUCAUAUGAAGACGGUGUGUUUGGAACAACAUGUCCCAUUCCUCCUGGACAGAACUUCACAUACAUACUUCAAGUCAAAGAUCAAAUUGGUAGUUUCUAUUAUUUUCCAUCUCUUUCAUUCCACAAAGCUGCUGGUGCUUUUGGAGGUAUUAGGAUCCUAAGCAGGCCAAGAAUUCCAGUUCCAUUGAUGAUCCUGCUGGUGAUUACACUGUUCUUAUUGGAGAUUGGUACAAAUCCAAUCACACUGAUUUGAAGGUUCAACUUGAUAAUGGUAAGAAGUUGCCUUUCCCUGAUGGAAUCCUUAUCAAUGGUCGUGGCUCUGGAGGAUCAUCUUUCAAUGUCGAGCAAGGUACUCAUUUUAAAUCACAUUCAAUAAUAAUUAGGAAAAUGGUCCAUGCUAUUCUUAUUUGUUACUCAAUUGGCUGAGACAACCCAGUGUUAUCAAUAUGCUCGCUUUGUACAAUGUCCUUAAUCAUACUCAACCUGCUGGUCCACCACAUGGCUAUCCAGCUCUCGGUUAUUAGAUUCAUAAAAGCCAUGUAGCACCAGUGUCUAUUACGAUUCGGCCGAGAACCUUCACCACAAAUGACGGGCCUCCGGCGAAAAUCACGGUGCAUCUGCUUGUAAAGUGGACAUCAACAAUAUGUUUCAGUUUAAUAA